UCUUCUUUAUAUAGAAGAUUAAAAUUCCUUAGGAAGUAAAUUCUUCUAUUGGAGAAUCUUGCAUGGGAGAGUGAACACAUAAGAUCAUAUCCAGCGGCAUAAAUCUUUGUACUUUGGCUACAAUAGUUUGUUCUUUGCAUAUGUCAUGAAGAGGAUCUAAACCAUCUCUUAUGGGACUGUCAAUUUACUCAUUCUUUUUAGAAUUAGUUCUCUAGUUCGUUUGGGGUUGUGUGGGUGCGUAUCAGGAACUGUCGCUCGUUGAUCAAGGAGAUUCUGAUGUACUGUCCCGUUCGUGACAAGGAAAGAGUGUUGUGGAAGGCGUGUUGUUUUAUGAUUUGUUGGGGCCUGACUUGAGAAGAAUAAUAUCAUUUUUUAUGGGGUUGAAAGAUCUUUAGGACAACAAGAGCUCCUCGUGCAGAAGGGAAUGGUGUGUUGGAUCUAACACACAGUUUCCAAACAAAUCUGCUGUUUGGAGGUGGUUGGUGGAUGGAUUGUUGAAAAGCAGCAUCUAAUACCAUUUCUCAUAUGCAGUAGGUUCUCUUCCAUGUUUUCUACGGUCGGAGUGAUCUCAUCAAAGCUACUGUAAAUUUUCACUUACACUCUUGAUCGGUAAAAAUACAAGACUCGAUAAUUUUCU